rnacentral:rRNA from 1 species
GAUUAAGUUAUUAAGGGCGCACGGUGGAUGCCUUGGCACUAGAAGCCGAUGAAGGACGUUACUAACGACGAUAUGCUUUGGGUAGCUGUAAGUAAGCGUUGAUCCAGAGAUUUCCGAAUGGGGGAACCCAGCAUGAGUUAUGUCAUGUUAUCGACAUGUGAAUUCAUAGCAUGUCAGAAGGCAGACCCGGAGAACUGAAACAUCUUAGUACCCGGAGGAAGAGAAAGAAAAAUCGAUUCCCUGAGUAGCGGCGAGCGAAACGGGAAGAGCCCAAACCAACAAGCUUGCUUGUUGGGGUUGUAGGACACUCUAUACGGAGUUACAAAAGAACAUGUUAGACGAAUCAUCUGGAAAGAUGAAUCAAAGAAGGUAAUAAUCCUGUAGUCGAAAACAUAUUCUCUCUUGAGUGGAUCCUGAGUACGACGGAGCACGUGAAAUUCCGUCGGAAUCUGGGAGGACCAUCUCCUAAGGCUAAAUACUCUCUAGUGACCGAUAGUGAACCAGUACCGUGAGGGAAAGGUGAAAAGUACCCCGGAAGGGGAGUGAAAGAGAACUUGAAACCGUGUGCUUACAAGUAGUCAGAGCCCGUUAAUGGGUGAUGGCGUGCCUUUUGUAGAAUGAACCGGCGAGUUACGAUCUGAUGCAAGGUUAAGCAGCAAAUGUGGAGCCGCAGCGAAAGCGAGUCUGAAUAGGGCGUUGAGUAUUUGGUCGUAGACCCGAAACCAGGUGAUCUACCCUUGGUCAGGUUGAAGUUCAGGUAACACUGAAUGGAGGACCGAACCGACUUACGUUGAAAAGUGAGCGGAUGAACUGAGGGUAGCGGAGAAAUUCCAAUCGAACUUGGAGAUAGCUGGUUCUCUCCGAAAUAGCUUUAGGGCUAGCCUCAAGUGAUGAUUAUUGGAGGUAGAGCACUGUUUGGACGAGGGGCCCCUCUCGGGUUACCGAAUUCAGACAAACUCCGAAUGCCAAUUAAUUUAACUUGGGAGUCAGAACAUGGGUGAUAAGGUCCGUGUUCGAAAGGGAAACAGCCCAGACCACCAGCUAAGGUCCCAAAAUAUAUGUUAAGUGGAAAAGGAUGUGGCGUUGCCCAGACAACUAGGAUGUUGGCUUAGAAGCAGCCAUCAUUUAAAGAGUGCGUAAUAGCUCACUAGUCGAGUGACACUGCGCCGAAAAUGUACCGGGGCUAAACAUAUUACCGAAGCUGUGGAUUGUCCUUUGGACAAUGGUAGGAGAGCGUUCUAAGGGCGUCGAAGCAUGAUCGCAAGGACAUGUGGAGCGCUUAGAAGUGAGAAUGCCGGUGUGAGUAGCGAAAGACGGGUGAGAAUCCCGUCCACCGAUUGACUAAGGUUUCCAGAGGAAGGCUCGUCCGCUCUGGGUUAGUCGGGUCCUAAGCUGAGGCCGACAGGCGUAGGCGAUGGAUAACAGGUUGAUAUUCCUGUACCACCUAGUAUCGUUUUAAUCGAUGGGGGGACGCAGUAGGAUAGGCGAAGCGUGCUGUUGGAGUGCACGUCCAAGCAGUAAGGCUGAGUGUUAGGCAAAUCCGGCACUCAUAAGGCUGAGCUGUGAUGGGGAGAGGAAAUUGUUUCCUCGAGUCGUUGAUUUCACACUGCCGAGAAAAGCCUCUAGAUAGAUAACAGGUGCCCGUACCGCAAACCGACACAGGUAGUCAAGAUGAGAAUUCUAAGGUGAGCGAGCGAACUCUCGUUAAGGAACUCGGCAAAAUGACCCCGUAACUUCGGGAGAAGGGGUGCUCUUUAGGGUUCACGCCCAGAAGAGCCGCAGUGAAUAGGCCCAAGCGACUGUUUAUCAAAAACACAGGUCUCUGCUAAACCGUAAGGUGAUGUAUAGGGGCUGACGCCUGCCCGGUGCUGGAAGGUUAAGAGGAGUGGUUAGCUUCUGCGAAGCUACGAAUCGAAGCCCCAGUAAACGGCGGCCGUAACUAUAACGGUCCUAAGGUAGCGAAAUUCCUUGUCGGGUAAGUUCCGACCCGCACGAAAGGCGUAACGAUUUGGGCACUGUCUCAACGAGAGACUCGGUGAAAUCAUAGUACCUGUGAAGAUGCAGGUUACCCGCGACAGGACGGAAAGACCCCGUGGAGCUUUACUGUAGCCUGAUAUUGAAAUUCGGCACAGCUUGUACAGGAUAGGUAGGAGCCUUUGAAACGUGAGCGCUAGCUUACGUGGAGGCGUUGGUGGGAUACUACCCUAGCUGUGUUGGCUUUCUAACCCGCACCACUUAUCGUGGUGGGAGACAGUGUCAGGCGGGCAGUUUGACUGGGGCGGUCGCCUCCUAAAAGGUAACGGAGGCGCUCAAAGGUUCCCUCAGAAUGGUUGGAAAUCAUUCAUAGAGUGUAAAGG